GACGAACGCUGGCGGCGUGCCUAACACAUGCAAGUCGAGCGAAAAACUUCGGUUUUUAGCGGCGGACGGGUGAGUAACACGUGGGUAACCUGCCUCAAAGAGGGGGAUAGCCUCCCGAAAGGGAGAUUAAUACCGCAUAUUAUUAGAUCUUCGCAUGGAGAUUUAAUUAAAGGACCACCAUUUCUGGUGAAUCCGCUUUGAGAUGGACCCGCGGCGCAUUAGCUAGUUGGUGAGGUAACGGCUCACCAAGGCGACGAUGCGUAGCCGACCUGAGAGGGUGAUCGGCCACAUGGGGACUGAGACACGGUCCAGACUCCUACGGGAGGCAGCAGUGGGGAAUAUUGCACAAUGGGCGAAAGCCUGAUGCAGCAACGCCGCGUGAGUGAUGAAGGCCUUCGGGUUGUAAAACUCUGUCUUCUGGGACGAUAAUGACGGUACCAGAGGAGGAAGCCACGGCUAACUACGUGCCAGCCGCCGCGGUAA
rnacentral:rRNA from 1 species